rnacentral:rRNA from 1 species
UACGAAGGGGGCUAGCGUUGUUCGGAUUUACUGGGCGUAAAGCGCACGUAGGCGGGGCGAUCCGGCAGGGGUGAAAUCCCAGAGCUCAACUCUGGAACUGCCUUUGAUACUGUCGAUCUGGAGUAUGGAAGAGGUGAGUGGAAUUCCGAGUGUAGAGGUGAAAUUCGUAGAUAUUCGGAGGAACACCAGUGGCGAAGGCGGCUUACUGGUCCAUUACUGACGCUGAGGUGCGAAAGCGUGGGGAGCAAACAGG